GUGCACAAGUGUGCACACCACACACAUACAGGGCAGGGCUGGCCACGCUUUUCCACAAAUCCAGUUUCCGAAGAAGAAUAAUGAGAUGCUCCACGGUCCCCUCAGAAGAAGGGUUGCUAAAAAGCAACAAGACUCUAGUGAGUGAAGUCUCUGAGCUGGUGCUGAUCUCGGGGAAGGCGAAUGUGGAUGAAAGAACAGGGCAUUAAGGCACAGACACAGAGGGAAGACCUUGUGGAGGCUUGGAGGAAGACAGCCAUCUACUAUCCAAAGACAGAGACAUCAGGAUGUAACCAACCCUACAACACCUUGAUCUGGGACUUCCACCCAGCCUGUGGUGCUGGUCAUGCCAGCCUGAGCAGACUGUCACAGCCGGCUUUUCCUGACUCCCCUUUACAGAGGGCUCCUACCCUUCCUGCCACUCCACAGGGCUAUAGAAAGAUUUUUUAAAGAUCUAUAUGAAGAAUAAGAAGUUAGUCCCUUUCGGACAAAAAUCUUCAGUAAAAUUGAUCUGUGCCCCAGGCACACAAAGAAGCAGGAAUCUGGGUAUUCUCACUGUCAAUAUUCCAUAUGUCUAGCCCCUGGAAACCUAAAACAAGACCAGAGAAUACCAAGGAAGGCAGAUUAUUUGGAAGACAUGGAUGCCAAAGUGCUUCUCAAUCCAGUCUCAGAAGCCAGAGAUGUCAGUGGGUGCUGCUGUUUUAUUUCCUGUGAAUCGGAGGACGAUGAGAAACCAAAUGAAAAUAUUGCCACAGUUAAGAUUGAAAAGAAGGCAAUUUAUGAGUGAGGUGUGGAUUUCAAAUGAGAUCUUCUCUGUUGACAGAGAGCCUUUGCUCUAAGCCAAUACCUGAGCUUCUGCCAGUUUGAACAAUUAUAAUGGAGGAAGGAGAUGAGGGAUUAGAAAAAACAAAGCUGACAGAUGGCAAUUUGUGAAGAGUUGAAUCAACAUAAAUUAUAUCUCAUCAGUGAGCAGAGGAAAGAGAGGAUGUUUUCCAGUGUUCGGCUAACCACUGAGAUGGUGAACAUGCCAGAGGCACAGCAAGCAAACCACUGGGCACCCUCCAGAUCUGGAUGCAAGCACAGAGCUGGAGAAAUACCCUUUAUUGGAAAGCCAUAUGGAUUGCAAAUUGUGGAUAGACAUCUAUUUGAAACAAUACAAUAAAUGAACAUCUGGGAUUUUGGUAGGUGUCAGUCAUAGACUACAGAAAACCAGAACAAAAUUGCUCAUAACUAAAUAUGAUAAUGCAGAAAGUAUCCAAGACUCGCCAGUUCAAAACCCACAUUUUUAAUAGUGUAUAUGGUUAAGUGUAAAUGUUUUUUUCUGAGGUUAGAAACAGUUCACUGAAAUCAUAUAAAAUGUUCAAGUUAUCAAUUUUUUUCUGUAGCCUUAAAUUUUCAUUCUUUGAAAUUAAGUAAUUAAACAUUAAUGUUAACUUUCCAAACUUUUGUAACUAUCAAGGGAAAUAGAAAAGUCAGCUUGUCAGACUCAAUACAUUGUAAUAACAUAUAAUAUAAAAUAACAUAGAUAUGGAUACACAUAAAAAAUUACUUUAAGUCAUGA
ensembl:lncRNA MIR3976HG MIR3976 host gene